rnacentral:lncRNA from 1 species
ACUUUCUAUCAAACAAAAAAUGGCGAAAAAAAAAAAUCGUAUGAAUUUUAGUCCAACUAAAAAUUAUUUUGUACUUAAAUUAAAAAAAAAAAUUUCUGUGCGCGUGGCCUACCAGCAUUUUUUCAAAACAAAAAAAGGGUAAACUUUCCGUGUGGUUUUGCACUUUUUCAUUUUAGUACCCUCCGAUUUAAAGUGUAUCAAGUCAGUACCUUAUGGUUUCAUUUUUCUCUUUUCGUCAACCCCUCUGUUAGUAUUUUUUAAAAUUAUAUACAAAAAAACUUUAGAAUACAAAAAAACUUUAGAAUAAUACCUCACCUAGGUUUAUCGAAUAUUCACUUUAGUACUCUUUAGUUUUAACUCUGUUACUGAUUUAACGAAAAAAAAUAGUAAAAUAGAAAAUAAAAAGAGAAAAAUAAAAACCACAUUGCACUAAAUUUAUACACUUUAAAUUAUAGGAUAUUAAAAUGAGGAAGUAUGAAAUCAAUUUCACAGGGUGGUAUUUGAAGUUUUUAAAAAAAAAAAAAGUUAU